GACGAACGCUGGCGGCGUGCCUAAUACAUGCAAGUAGAACGCACAGUUUAUACCGUAGCUUGCUACACCAUAGACUGUGAGUUGCGAACGGGUGAGUAACGCGUAGGUAACCUGCCUGGUAGCGGGGGAUAACUAUUGGAAACGAUAGCUAAUACCGCAUAAUAUUAAUUAUUGCAUGAUAAUUAAUUGAAAGGUGCAAUUGCACCACUACCAGAUGGACCUGCGUUGUAUUAGCUAGUAGGUGAGGUAACGGCUCACCUAGGCGACGAUACAUAGCCGACCUGAGAGGGUGAUCGGCCACACUGGGACUGAGACACGGCCCAGACUCCUACGGGAGGCAGCAGUAGGGAAUCUUCGGCAAUGGACGAAAGUCUGACCGAGCAACGCCGCGUGAGUGAAGAAGGUUUUCGGAUCGUAAAGCUCUGUUGUAAGAGAAGAACGGGUGUGAGAGUGGAAAGUUCACACUGUGACGGUAUCGUACCAGAAAGGGACGGCUAACUACGU
rnacentral:rRNA from 1 species